GUCUCUGUAGCGCAUUGGACAGCGCGUUGGACUUCUAAUCCAAAGGUGUGGGUUCGAAUCCUACCUGGGAUA
rnacentral:tRNA from 1 species